AACCGGGCUUCCUCCCAGGCAUGAGGCAGGUGCCCAGUUCAAAGCCCACUGCGAAGUCUGCACAAAACAAACGUGACCUGGUUAAGUACGAAAGGUAAUGAGUAGGAUUAUGUGUUUUCACAUGCAAAAGUAAUAUCUUUUAAUAAAAAUCGAACAUGUAUUUUGUAGAAAAGAGAUGUGCGUUUCUGGAUGAUGCAACAUGCUGCCUUGUUGACAACAUGUACAGGCCACAGACCGGUGUCCGGUCUAUAAUCGAAUUCGCCCAUUGGCAGAGAGGUUUGGAACUCUCUUUGCUUUCAGGAACCUUUUCCCCGAGGAAUCUUUUAAAAAGGUUCCUCAAAUAACCUUUUUAAUUUUAAUUUUUUAAUUUUACCUUUAUUUAACCAGGCAAGUCAGUUAAGAACACAUUCUUAUUUUCAAUGACGGCCUGGGAACAGUGGGUUAACUGCCUGUUCAGGGGCAGAACGACAGAUUUGUACCUUGUCAGCUCGGGGGUUUGAACUCGCAACCUUCCGGUUACUAGUGUUAAGGUUCCCGUAGGAAACUUUUAUGUCCCAUGUAUUCCAUUAUGAACAAUAACAAUAAUACUAUUAACAAUAGUAAUACAAAUAACAUUGAGUGGUGAACUUGUAAAGUCACAAAUUCAUUUUGUUGACUUUAAAAGUCCCAGAAAUCUCACUUGCAGACGUCACAGAAAUCUCUGGUCUCCCUUAUCCCUCUCUACAGCAAAAAGUUUCCCUCAUCAAUUCCCAGAACACAUUUCUGAAUGAACAGCGUAGUGCUUUUUAAUGAUGCUGCAUACUCAAUAUUAAAAAGGAAAUGGACCCCCCAUUGCCACUCCCAAUCCCAUGGAGAUGUCCUCCAGCUCUUCAGUGAGUAGCUCCUCCACAUCCAGGAAGAGUUGAAUGUGGCUCUCAUCCGUAAAGGAAAAUACAUACCCUGUCUGUGACGUACAGCCCACUUGGAUCUUCUUUGAAGAGGUAGGGGGGGAGCAAAAUGGCUGCAGUGACUUUCAGACCUGUGUAAUAAAAUGGCUGCAGUGACCUUCAGACCUGUGUAAUAGGGUGUGUAAUGAAAUGGCUGCAGUGACCUUCAGACCUGUGUGAUAGGGUGUGUAAUAAAAUGGCUGCAGUGACCUUCAGACCUGUGUAAUAGGGUGUGUAAUAAAAUGGCUGCAGUGACCUUCAGACCUGUGUGAUAGGGUGUGUAAUAAAAUGGCUGCAGUGACCUUCAGACCUGUGUGAUAGGGUGUGUAAUAAAAUGGCUGCAGUGACCUUCAGACCUGUGUAAUAGGGUGUGUAAUAAAAUGGCUGCAGUGACCUUCAGACCUGUGUAAUAGGGUGUGUAAUAAAAUGGCUGCCGUGACCUUCAGACCUGUGUAAUAGGGUGUGUAAUAAAAUGGCUGCAGUGACCUUCAGACCUGUGUAAUAGGGUGUGUAAUAAAAUGGCUGCAGUGACCUUCAGACCUGUGUAAUAGGGUGUGUAAUAAAAUGGCUGCAGUGACCUUCAGACCUGUGUAAUAGGGUGUGUAAUAAAAUGGCUGCUGUGACCUUCAGACCUGUGUAAUAGGGUGUGUAAUAAAAUGGCUGGAUUAGAAUCAAUAGAAUUAGAACAGCUGCAUUAUUGUAGAGAUUCAGCAACUCCACGGCACACCCCCCUCUGCAAUGAUUUUGUCGGCCAUUGGGUCGAAUCCGGACAGAAUGUUUCUGUCCACAUCCAUACCGAAUUUGCUUCUCAUCUCUGAGAAAAUCUGAAAGUCUUAUUUGUUUAUAAUGCAUUAUCAAUAUAUCUUACAUUCAGAUGACA